GGGUUUUCUUUAAAGCUCUGAUCUGUGGAUGGAAGUUGAGGGUUUCGGGGUUGUGUGUUUUUGAUUGUGUUGUUUUUUGGUCAAAUUAAGUUUUGGGUAUGGUUUGUUUCAUGUUUGAUUGUGUAGUUUUGAUUCUUUAAGUGAUAAAUUUAUUGUGUGUAUUUGCAGCUAUAGUCAAAAGAUUGAAUCGGUUUUUGUCAUCAGAACGAACGAACUUGGUAUGUCAAUGUUCCUCAAGAAAUCAACAGGCUGAGGUGCGGGGUGAACUAUCACGCUCUUAAAUUUCUUCCCGAGAUAGAGCAGAUGGCUGAUUUAUUGGCAUCAAGGAUGAGAAACCGCACUGGAAGUUCCAAUCCUUAUAUGUUAUGGAGGUCAUGAAGAUAUUGGAGAUUGACCUUGAAAGUGGAUGGAUUUUGCCCAAGUUAUUUCAGUGGGAAAGGAAAGCAAAUCACUUCUACACACAAAAAGACAUUGAUCAGGUCCGGGCCGAGUGGGCAAAGUAUGUCAGCCAAUUUCAACAAAGCUAGUGUGUCGAGAAGAUUCUAAUUUUGGACAUGCAUCAUCUAUAACCCAUAUUAACUAGUUAUGCAGUUGGUCUAAGUAUCUAUUUUUGGCCUGCAAGUACAGUUUAUGAUAAGUAGUAUGAG